CCCGGUGGGCAGUGCGAAUUACAUGAGCGUUAGCAUGCUAACGCGAGUUAGCAGCCAGCCCAGCGAGCUGGCCCAACCUGCACGCAUGCGCGAGUCACGUGGGCACGCGCCCUUCAAUAUCCUGUACAAUGGGGCUGUUAAGUGAUGACGUCACAGUUCCUUCGAUACGCAUAGCAACGAUCCCACUGGGGACAAACAAAAGUAGCGUCGUCCCCACCGACCCAGUUGUCAGUGGCAACAUAUAGGAAUCGUGUACAUUUCUUCGUUUCUUCUUUGCUGUUUUCAGUGAGUGUUUUGUUUUCUCUUUGUCCUUGAUCUCGACGAUGUUGUCGUGCUCAUUACCUUACUGAGACGUCUCUUGUGACUGUAGCCAGUGUCAUGGAGGAUUUUAUUGGCGUGACAAGGUAGAUCGCCGAGAUCGAGCGUGAAAAACGCUCUGCAUUAGUAGCUCCUGUAGAAUGUUUUCUGGGUUGGCGUAUCCAUGGUCAACAAAACCAAGGUGCAAGACAGCAUGAGAGAUCGUGUAAACGAUGUGAACUCCAAAAGAUAAUCUGGCCAAAUUUAUUGUAACUAGAGAGUGCAAUCGUGAACUGCUUGGGGCCCAUCCCAAUGUCAUCACAUGGCUGUGGUGACUAGUGUAUAUCUGGGAGAAUUUCUCCUCGACUGAUACGGAGUGCAGGUGGAUCGAUUAUGAGAAAUGCGAACAUGUGAAGUUCAAGGCUAGAUGCACUUCACAUUCGGCGUGCGAUCUCAGCGUCUGGGACCUGAUGAAGUCUUGGUUGGAUGAUUAUUCAAGCCUGAUACUACUCGACACACCAAUGUUCAUGUCAAUGUAAUUUUUUCAGAGCUGCACUAUUUACGUGUUGACGCUUACUUCGGUGUUAGCGUGUUUCCCCCGGAUUGUUUCUAUCAUCAUGAUCGUGUGUUCUUGGGCUGAGCGAGCACAUGCACAAAUGUGCAGCUAUAACCCUGUGUAUUUUUGGUUACACUUUGUUCUGCAAUGCAUGUACCUUGUAACAUUAUGUGCUUGCACUGCUUUGUCUGGCCUGCGUAUUUCAGGACUAUUCAGUGCAUUAGACCCAGGUUUGUUUGGUUACCGGAUGACCUCUUGUUGCGUCGCUCUGUAUUUGUAUUCAUCAAUUUUUGGGCUUGAGAAUUGAGCUGUUGUGUGGUUCCCAAUAUGAAAACAUCAUGCUGGUGCUCUGUGUUUCGAUUAUCGACUGUCGGAGCAGUCCUGCAUUUAUUAGCAGAACGGUCAAUACUGUAGUCUUUUCACGUGUUUGUCUUUUUUGUGUUUUCGCCGGGGGUAUUAGCGGUAACGUUGCACACAGAACGGCAGUGUUGCAUCACUGGACGACCCUGCCUCUGCAUCUGACUUAAUUUCCCCAGGAUCUGGUGCAGUUACACCAGACAGCCACUUCCUGUAAACACGCAAACAGCAAAAGAAGAGAUCCCGCAAAUCAGGAAAAAACAUGGAAAAUAAAAUUCAAAAUAUAGAGUACUUCUUUUUGAAGUAGAUCAUACAACAUUCAAUAAUCUGGAGUAAUUACAGUGAGACAAACACUUCAAACAGUGCUCUCUCUCUCUCUCUCUCUCUCUCUGUCUCCAUCCUUCCAAAAAUACCCUAUGACAAUUCCCUAGAAUUAUUUUAUUUUAUAUUCUUAGGACAUCAUUCUGAACAUAAUAAAUUCUUCCAUGGGUCUUCCAUCACCACGGAGGGCGAAAAUAUAUCUAAGUCAUGCAGUUUACGGGAGGUACGAGCUGUCAUGGAUAUAGAGGCUGAUAUUGUGCCAGCGUGAGGGCAGAGACAGAAAGAAGACACUGAUUUCUUGAACAACUCACCUAUAUAUAAUCGAAUCCACAAGGAGCGCUCAUACUUUGAUCCAUCAGGACGCGAAACAUCUUCAAAGCACUCUCAAACACGGAGUUUUACUGUGGGCAGCCAAUUUCACAGCCAUCAUGAAGGCACUCGACGACUACAGGAUUUUUGUAGAGGAAAGAACAAGGAGUAAAGAGCGACAACAAUCGCUUGAAGAAAAAGCAAAGAAAAACAACUGUCUCUCCAGUCAUUUAGAUGCUGUUGCCCUUGACAUCUGGUUCCAUCCAGAGGACGCGACUUUUGUUUGUCCCCAGUGCUCUCCGUUGCUAUGCGUAUCGAAGGAGCCGUGACGUCACACUUAACAGCCCCAUGUCUCUUUCAUGUCAUUGCUGUUUGGACUUUCGAGCGUGCAACUUGCGGAACAGGUGUUCCCGAAACAAUUUCCUUUUUUCCUUUCGUUAGACUUUCAAGCUUGCAUUCUCGUAUCUCUGCGUUUCAAUUCAGACUUCAUUGACGCCUGUUGGUGCCUGUUGGUGCCUGAAACAAUGUCGUCGUCUACAGUGGAACGUCGACUGUGGUUUUUUAGCUUGCGCCAUCAUCAGGUUUCCUGAAAUGAAGUACCUCCACGCGAUCUCAGCGACCCUUGUUUGUCACUUUGUGCCUUGAAACAAUGUCGUCGUCACCAACCGGCGUCCAGCCUCUCCGGAUCGCCUCGCUCUACCUGGCUCCGCCGCUCGCCUACUGCGAACGCAGCGACGGCCGCCACGCAGCACCACCACUGCAACAGCAGGCGCGAGCCUGACGAUCGUAAUUCGUAUCCAGAGAGGCGAGUUCGUGGACUUUGAUUUUCUGUUGGAAGUAACAACGGGAGUUGUCCACUGCCGUCACCAACGCCACCCAGCUUCUCCUCGCUCUACUUGGAUCCGUAUCGCCGCUCGCCGCCAGCAGGCCGGACCCUACUGGGAGCCCGGUGCAGUGACGACCGCCAUAUGCGCAUGCAGCACCAACAGCAGGUGAACCUGACUGUCCUAUACGGGCCCUUCUCGAUCGCGUCCAGAGAGGCGAGUUCGUGGACUUCGAUUUCCUGCUGCCCGAUACAGUUGCAGUCAGUCCAGCUCCGGCGACGUUCCAACUCCGUAGCCCCUCAUAUGUUGCUCUUCUGGCGCACUAGCAUUUAUUUGAAUCCGAACCCAGAACUGCGCUUCGUAGGCUGCAUGACGGUAGCACUUGAGUUGAGACCUGGACAGUGUUCAUGAAUGGUCUGUGUUCCACUGUUCCUCACCGCGUUUCACGAGUGCCUGUGGACGUAUUUGGCCACGAUCGUCGCGGCCAAUCGCCAGCUUUUGCCACCUAGAAACUGGACGUUAUCAAUACUCAAUCUGCGGACAACUGUUUCGUCCUUUGUGGACUCAUCAGCGCAGCACAGAGGGAAUUAAGCCGAACCUGAUAGCAAUGGAAAAUAAAAUAAAUCUCCAAAGCCAGGUUAUCAAUAUCAACUUGUGGCAACUGCGCCUCGCGGUGUACUGGAACAGCACGACCCGCCUGCCAGCAGUGCAGCUCAGUGCACUCGCCAGCAUUUCCGUGCGCAUUUCGUCCUACUCACCAGUACAGAUCCGCAUCCCGUACCGCAACCGUAUGCCGCUACUACGAGUACGGCGCUUGCACGCGUCAGCUCAGGCAGUGCUACCUCCAGUGCCGACAGGAGCAUCCCAGGGCAAAGUGUAAGGCCUCAUCAGUAACUGUGUAAGCACUCAGUUUCUCACUUCUCAAAAUUACUGGACUCACAUCCUGAUCCUAUGCUCCGGAGGUAUGUUGCACAUGGUCGUAAUUGUGGGGUUGUGGUAGGUUUCAUCGGCAACCACUCAACUAACUGGGAUCCAUUGAAUUUAACACGGUCACAUGCUAACCCAGAUUAUAUUUCUGCGCAACGAUCCGUUUCUUGCAGCAGGCUUGAAACAGCUGGCUGAUCCGUUUCUUGCAGCAGGCUUGAAACAGCUGGCCCGUGUUCUUCACCCCCUUUCUCGCCUCUGUGCUGUUCCGGCGUAGAUGCGGUUCCUAGACGAACGGGAAGUUACACACGACACACCCUUUGUAAAGCCUGGAGGGUCGAAGUGUCAACGAUUACAUUCCAGCAGACCGUGUCUCUCCACAAUGUCAAGAUGACAAUGCUGCAAACAUGAUUAGACAAUUGCUCGCCCCGCUGUAUCUUGCUAAGCUCAAUGUUAAAAGUGCAUUCUGCCGAAUUCCCGUCUGCCCGGAGGAGUGGCCCUUGUUGAACCGCUGGCAGGAUCAAUACUGUUAUGAGAGCGUCCUGCCCUUCAGACUGUACUACGCUCCAGGCCAGCUAUAUGGAACUCUGUCGCAUCCGCCAGUGAAUGGAUUGUGUGCGGGCAGUUCGCACUCCCACGCCUGUUGCAUUACGGGGAAUACCUCAAUUAAUGUUACUUCCUCAAUGCAUGCUCUGGACUUGUGUUACCUCGCCAGCAACUCGCUAUUCU